rnacentral:rRNA from 1 species
CCUACGGGUGGCAGCAGUGGGGAAUAUUGGGCAAUGGGCGCAAGCCUGACCCAGCAACGCCGCGUGAAGGAAGACGGCUUUCGGGUUGUAAACUUCUUUUAGGCAGGAAGAGCAGAAGCCGGUACCUCUUGAAUAAGCCACGGCUAACUACGUGCCAGCAGCCGCGGUAAUACGUAGGUGGCAAGCUUUGUCCGGAUUUACUGGGUGUAAAGGGCGUGUAGCCGGGAGGACAAGGCAUAGGUGAAAUCCGGGGGCUCAACGCCCGAACUGCCAUUGAAACUGUUGGGCUUGAGUAUGGGAGAGGUAGGCGGAAUGCGUAGUGUAGCGGUGAAAUGCGUAGAUAUUAGGAGGAACACCAGUGGCGAAGGCGGCCUGCUGGACCACAACUGACGGUGAGGCGCGAAAGCGUGGGGAGCAAACAGGAUUAGAUACCCGAGUAGUC